UCAUUCUGAAGAUUGAUGGGUGAGCCCUGCAGGUCUGGCCAUGGUCACUUAGAACAUCAUCACCCCAGCAGGAGGAUGGCCUAACACAGCCAUCAGAAGAGACCAGGUGCCCGCUCAGCUGCUAAGGCUGGUGCUUGGCAUUUUAGCUCAAAGCCACUACAUUGGCAGAGUGAAGGGCAGUAGUUUUGCCCUGGGCUAAAGGGGUGUGGGCACGUGUUCCUGUUUGUCAGAUUCUCUCAUCAGGAGGAAUACAACAGGUGGAAACACUUUACACCAGCACAUCAUUAUUUACCAGGGUUUAUUGCUGAAAGUGUCAAAAGACUGAUCUGUACCCUAGAACGACUCUGAUUUGGGAACAUUUUCCCUUGUGCUGUCUUUGCUGGGGUGGCAGCAGCCUCUGUAAGAAAGUCAGAGCAGACAAGUAAUAAUUUACACUGCAGCAGCAAGGUCUGGCAGAGCACCUACUUAAUGAGGGGCCCUGAGUGCCCUAAGAUGAAGGCAGCAUAAUGCAGAAUGUUGAAGCUAAGAUUUCUAGGAUCUUAGAGCACUGGGCUUAAAGCCUGCUAGAAUUCAUUGGUGUAUUUUUGGCUGUGUUAAACUUACCUAAAUGAAUAGAUUCUUUCUUGCUUCCAGGGAAGAGCCUUUGUCUGAAGACCAUAGAAAUUGUGCACACUCUUCUGAAGAUGGUCCUCUUAAAUGUGCAAUAACAAAAACUGCCUUCCUUCCCCUAAAUAUUUUGAGAGAAGAAUGCACUUUCCAGAUUCCUUAAUUUUCCUGGAUUGCUGCUUCUCUUUCACCAUCUGCUCAACUGUGACCUUCUUUCUGGCUUGGAAGUGCUGCAAGAUCUUUCUUUCAGACCUCAUCUGCCUCAUUUCUAACUACUUGCUGAAGUGGUUCAUGCAAUUCUUGGCAAAAGAUCACUCACUGACCAUGUGACUUGAUGGAUUUGUGACACCCGUCUCUUGCUAUUUCAUCAUGUGCUGCAAACUUUUUCAUGUGAGAGUGGAAUCCCUGUUGGGAAGUAUGGACUGCAUUAAUGAGUACUGCUUUGCAACUAAUCCAAGUUUGAUGAUUGAUGAGCAUAUGUAUUUUAGUUUUCACUUGUCCUUACAUAUCUGUAAUUAUUUUCUGUCACACUCCCACCUUUUGCUUUUUGUGUGCAUACCAAGAAACAGAUCCAGCUGGUCUAGCAGUUAGCUGUUGCUAAAAGAGGCACAGAUACUGCCAUUCCUCUGCCCUGGCUGUUUCUGCACAUUCCUACUGCUUCCCUCUUGUGUUCCUCAGUCUUUGUUGAGUAAUACGUAAAAAAAGCCCAAUUAAUUUCAUGUUACUGGGAUCUAAAAUUAAUCUCUGAUAUUAUAAGAAAUUCUCUGUGAAGAAAUGAGGAUUGGGAGACAAUUUUUUUGUAUGUUUUGAGCUCCCUGACAUAGGCAAUAUAGAUCCACUGCUUUUAUUCAUCACAGAAUGUCAAAGCCUGGAAGGCCUCUCUGAGGGUUAUCUAGUCCACCUCCUAGCUCAGAGGAAGGUCAGCUUGAGUCAGGUUUUGAAUAUCUUUGAGGACAAAAGCACCACAAACUCUCUGAACUACCCAUGCCAGUGUUUGAACACACUCACAGUAAGAAUUUAUUUUUUUUCUUAAUAUCUUAAAAAUAAGAGUUCUCUGCUGGUUAGACUAUUGUAAGUUGAUCUGAGUUUUCUUUCCAAAUGGUCUGGUAAGCUAUAGUGCAAACCAAUGACAUCCAUCUAUUGAGUUGAGGGGAGGUAAUGCAAGUGAUAGCACUCACCUUCAUCCAUUACUGUGGCUGGUGACUCAUCCGAGAUCCCUAGCCAAUAUAGUUUAGAAAUCUGAUUUACGUAACGCUUUACAAAUCCUUUUGUUGCUAGAUGCAGAAUAGAAAUAAUUUAUGUAUUUAGUUAGUGUGACUUCUUUUAUCAUAAUAUGUUGGAUAUUUUUUAUUUGUUUAUUUUACAGUAUUCUUUGCUGUAAGAAUAACUGAUUUUUUUGGCUAAAUGUAGUCUUAAUGCUUAUGUAGCAAACUUUAUAGCCAUGGUUUCCCCAGUCUGUAUUUUGAUGGCACUAUAAUAAUGCAGGCUGUGUCUAUGCCACUUAACAAAUGCUACAGUGUUCUGUGACUGAAAACAGACUGAGACAUGCCCAACCUGUUGUGCUGCAUUCAUUUGGGUGACCUGCCCCAGAAGUUAUUUGACACAUCAGUAAUGAAGGAAUACUGAAAACAACUGGAUCCAGUGUUUGUGAUGUCUCUGCCUGCUCAAUGUCUCUGAAAAAAAUAUAUUUCUACAAAAAAGAAUUACCAACUAGAAUAAUAAUUGUAUGGUAUGAAUGCAUAAGUUAGAUUUCUUUAAGAGAAGGAAUUAGUUAAUCCCUCCCAAUAGACACUAGAGAGAGAUAUCAUAGAUAAGAUGAGGUUUCUGGUCUGUAUGAAGUUGUUAGGGAGAGAGGUCAGCCACCAACACAGGAAAAGGGACCUGUAUCAAAGGAGGUAGUGGCUGUGUCCAGCUGAAAUAUUGACAAACUUGAGCAUGUUAUUGAGUCCAUGAGUAUAUGAGAUAAGAAUGGGGUGGGAUUGUCAUUAAAAUGCUGUAAAACCAGAAGUUGUUGUGGUUAGAGAUUAUUCUUCUAUGCCUGUUUCUGUUGCUUUUCUUGUCAAGUUGUUUCCAAGGGGGGUUUAGGUAGAGUUUGAGUGCUCAUAUUUUAGGCUGAGCUCUGCAGAGAAUGUGUCAGGAGAUCUCCAAGAUCAUGGUGGUACCCAGAGCCUGCAUAUAGAGUCUCUGGGGGUCCUUUAUAGCCAGUUAAAGGCUAUGCCUUGUGUUCAUCUGGAAGUCCUUAGCAAACUUCCCUCUGUAGCCAGUAAUGGGCCUGGAUUGCAAUGUUAACUAUCCCAGAAUGUUUUAUAUUUUUAACAAAAAAUAUACCAAGGUAGUCUUAACUGUCAAACUGGGAUGCAUUAAAUUUGCGUUGUACAUUGUUUCCUUUCAUGUACUGUUUGUCUUUAACAGACUUGGCAUGACUGUUUCCCAAGCAGUAAAUACAUUCUGGCAUAAUUAAAGUGCUUCAACAUCCUUUGCAGGCAAAACCUCAGAGAUGGUAUCUCUGGAGGGAGAUGUUGGAACUGUCCCAGAAGUUGCCAACUGCUGUUUAUCUCUUAACCAGUACCUGAGCUGCUGUCUUUCUGAAUCACCAUCCCAGACCACAUCUGUAUUUACAGUGACCCCCACUGAUCCAUAGGUCAUUACUUGGGCAAUUGUAAAAACUGAUCUAUAAAAAAUGUUGUGUUUUUUAAUCUUAUUUUUUAGUGCAUUAGAUAUGUUCAGCCAGAAAAAGGAAAAAGGAGCCAGAGAAAGCAACUUGAAGACUUGUGAUUUAUCUAUGUAAAAAUCCAUGUAAGACAGUAUAACUUAGUUAAUUCUUAACAAGGUAGAUCUCUCUAAGCAAUAUGGGAUGUACUUCUGAGGGUGUACCAGAUUAGUUCUGCUGCUGCUGGAGCCAAUGUUUAUGGACAUAAAUUCAUGGAUCUUGAUCCUGUUGCUGCCACUGUGUAAGCAGAUUUUUUUAUCACUUUUUGUUUGGACAGGCACGAAAGCCUGCUUGUAUAUUUAAAGUUGUAGCAUCUGCACAAUAGUUAUAUACUUAAAAUUACUGUGCCUUGGCGUCACCUUCCUCUAUUGAUCUUUAAACCAGCACAAAAUGAAAUUGAAAAUACAAGCCAUUCAGGCAAAAAUUCCAUUAAGGGUAGUAAAGAGUAUAGGGUACUCCAGUGUGGGGCUUCUAGUGCAAGGGCAGGACCACAACAUUUUUUCAUCUUAAUAUUAUGUGAUGGAAAAGGACAUAAAUCUAUAUGGAUAAAGUGAAUUUAUGCAUAGGCAAUUAGCUUCUGCAGAAGAAGAGACAGGUUGUAAAUGCUUUGAAAAGCCCUUCUCCCAUGCCAUCAAGUAAUUUAAACCACAGACUAUUCUUUGGGGAAUAUUAGAGCUGCAAAAACUAGCUGGUCAUAACUUUAUGUAAGUGAUAAAUUUAAUACAGCUAUUAACUUAUGACUGCUUGGAAAAUAAAGGCACAGUUUGCAUUAACAAGGUUGAACUGGAUGAUUUCUUUUGAAAAAACACCUCAAUCCUUUUUUAAUAUGUUUUACAAAAAAAAAAAAAAAAAAAAAGGGCAAUGUUUCAGGUGACUGCUGGACUCUGUAUUUAAGCCUUUAUUUGAAAAAAGGUUCAGGGAUAAAAAAUGUCAUGCAAACAUUUGUGGAAUACCUUGUAUUUCCAGGACAAAAAAUAUUGAGUGGAUUUAAAAGAGAUCCCUCCAAAGAUGAAUUUUACCAGUAAUAGAAAAGCUUUCUAAAAUGAGUGCUUCUCAUCAAGCAUAAUCUUACUGCCUAAACAGCUACUAUUUAGUGAGAUUAUUGACCUUAAAUCUAGCCAUAAUGGGGCUUGUAGUUCUCAAUUUCAUAGAUGGACUGUAGAUUCGGUUUGACAACUUUAUUUAUCAUAAACUUAAUCAGGAGUGCAACAGCGUUCCUUGUUGUCUCCUUCUUCUGUGUUUUGCAAAGUGACAGUGUCCAUUUUAUAAGUGGCUUUUGCAAAUCAAAAUGAGCCUGGAGCAGCCUGGUCUGUACCCAGCCUCAAGUGUCAGGUGUGGCUGUGACAGCACUGAAUUGCUGUGGAGGAAGGAUAUUUUGGGGUGGUGGCUGUGCUGGGGCAGUGGAACAACAACACAGUGGAGGAGCAGCCAGGACCCCUUCUGUGGCCAUAGGGCCUGCAGGGGUCUCUCUGGACUGCAGGGGCUGGGAUGCUCCUCUGCAAGCCACUGGUCUUGGACUGGGUCCUUCUAAGUGACUUUACAGCACUUUCCACCUGUUCUUGUGCCGUGCUGUGUACACCUAGGAAUUGCAGCAGGGAGUUUAAUUCUUGGGUACAGUGUGGGGUAAACGCCCUCCCAGGGUUAAAUGGGGAUUAGUGCAGGCUUUUUAAGGGUGGGAAGGGUUAGGCUCAGAGUGGGAAAAUGAAUCUGUGUUCUUCACCACUUUUGAGCAGGAAUCCUCUUCCCUUUUGCUUACUUUCAGUUUCAAAGGCUCGAUACAUCUGUGUGGAUACCUUGUAGUAAACACCAGUUUUAGUACAUAGGUACAGCUUUGGGAAAGAAUAAAGUGACUUAUGGUCAGCAAUCCUACCUUCUUCACAGCUGCAACCAAUUGCUGUAUAAGAAGCAGGGCAGAGCUAAGCAAAGAGCAGAACUGAGGAGGGGUAGGCAGGUCUGGACCUCUGGGUGUUGUGACUGCAUGCUUUAGGAGUUACAUCUCUAUGAUUCAAUUGCUGAAUCAUUCCCCUCAUUCUUGUAGGUUUAGAAGUGUAAUUCUGUUAGGGACUUGCAUCAGGACAUAAAUGUCAUGGUUUAGCUACCAUGUCUGGGAAGAAUCUUCUAGGCAGGAUGGUGGGAUAGGUACAGUUAAAACUCUUGCAGGUUUUGUAUUGGUUCUUCAUUUCUUUGUAUGACCCUGCUCUCACCAAAGUCGAUGGGACAAUUCACCCAUUUAAAUAUUUUUCAUUAUCAUGGCUUGCAUUCAUUUUUGUCACAUUGAUGCUCUCUUUUUCUUCCCUGGCUGGUGGAAGCCCUCAAAUGCAGGAAGUAAAUUGACAGGAAUUUAAAGGAGCUUCUGACAGUCCAGCAGUUUCAUGGUCAGUUUGAACAGCCCCAAAAACGAGGUUGGAGGAAAUGGACAGGCAAAACCAGACAGGAGUCUGGUCAUGAACAGAAAGCAGUGUCUAGCUUCCAGCCUUACUGAACUGUUUGUUUCUUAGUUACUUCAUGAGAGGAAGGAGCAGAGUGGGAGAUGGUGAUACUGAUAACAUCACCUGGGUGUCAGGCUGCCUGUAUAUGAAAACUGUUGACACAAAGUCUGGGAAUCAUGCAGAGCUUCAGGCAUGUCCCACCUUACACAGAGCCAGCGAGCAGCCCUGAAAGUGGAACUAUUUAUGGGAGGUUGUCUGUUUUCUCUUGUGACUUGUGGAUAUUGUUUCUUGUUCACCCAGGCUCUGAGCCCUAUCAGUUUGCACUUAAAUAUAACUUUCCCAGAUUUUCAACUCUGCUGUUUUCCCAGAGGAAUAUCUGUUCCUGGCAUGUAGCCUUCCUUUUAUCAUGCUCAUAUCAUACUCUGAUACUCAGAUACUGACGUUCACCUCACUCACUAAGUGUUGGUAGCAUCUGGUCGAUGACCAGCAGCCUAAAUAUUGCCACCUAUCAGGCCCUCCUCUCUGCCCUCAGAUGGAGACAUCGUGGUUUACUUGAUCCAGCCCUAUGUGAUGCCACAUGCCUUCAGUUUCUUCAGCACAGCCCUGGCUAUGAUCCUGGAGUACCUUGCCAAGGAGAAAGUGAUGGAGGAAGUUUACCUUCCUUGCAAUCUGAGUCAGGUGGCACUGGGAAUCACAGAAGUGCUUGCAGGAGGAGUGGUGGUGUGGCAUGUGACUCUUCCAUGUAUCCAGUCCUCAUGUGCCUAAUCGUCAGGGAUAAUGCCUAAGUGUAUGGGCCAAAGCUGUCAAGAUCACGUGCUGUGUUUGCAUAUACUGUCCAACUUAGCCAAAUACUGCAUUGCUGGGAAAUUUUCUCAAGAAAAUCUAAAGGGUUAGACUAAAUAGUAUCCAUAAGUGACAGUUUAAAAGAGACACAAAACGGUGUUUUCAUAGUUACUAACUGACAUAGGUUCUGUAAAACACAACUUCCUUGCAUUUUAUGAAAUAGGAAUUUAAUUUGCCAUCUUUGGUAAAAAACUGGAUUCUGUAUGAUUCUCCUCUCAAACCAAGUCUCACCCUUGCUUUAUUUUUUGAGUCGUUCAGAACUGCAGUACAUUUAUACUUUGGUUAAUGCAUGUGGGCCAUGGUUAGUGACUGCUAGUUUAGCUGUUCUUAAGUUCUCAUACCGUGGCUUCAGGUCAAAGAGAGCAAAGGUCUAGUAUUUUAAGGGAUUUGGUGCUUCUAGAUAAAAACAUUUUGCAUUCCAUGCAUGCUCAAUCUCUAAAGAUAAGUAGGGAGGAAUACUGGAAAACCCUGGUAUCUCAAUAGAAACGAUAGUCAGAAUGUAACUUAUCUUGCAUGGUGGUAGUUUGCAUUCAUCAACAUACCUUUGUUUUUGUUUUCCACCUGUUAUAAAACCUUCUGCACUUCUUUUUAGUACUCAUAUGAACAUUUGAUGACUGCUGCUGUGAAGAUUUUAUCAUUGAAAUGAUUGCUUCCUGAGCACUUCAUUUCUUCAGCAGCAGCCAGACGGAUGGAAGCAAUGGCCCUUCCCCCUGAGUGCAAGGGAACUUUGCUCAGUCCUGGACCAUCCAGGUGUUUGACAGAUCUAAGUUGAUAUCUGAAGCUUCAGGUGGAAUUUUGCUGCCUCAGGAGCUUGCAAGUAUCUCAUCAGUCCUAUAUGUAAUAUCUUCUUGGGUGGCUAAAUAGAACUAAAUACCAAUGUGUAUGUUGCUAAAUCCUUUUCCUGUGUCUGAAAAUGAUAUGCUCAGAUGAGCAGUUUGAGGUCACCACCAGUGUUACCUGGAUCCAUACAUACAUCUGCUUUGGGCCCUCAUUCUCAUCAUACUUCUGUGGUACCGUUUAUGCUGGAGUAGAUAUAUAUAGUGGUGGCCAGACAGGGCAAUGUGUGUUUACUUUCCCUGUCUUGGCAUCAUUCUCCCACUGUUGCCCUCAGUGCUGAAGCAGCCUGCUUUGGAGUCAGCUGAACGGUAGUGCUGGAGAUGCAGACUUGGUAGGAACGUGGAAGUAAGAAGGGCAAGUUUGCCCUCUGGCCCAGCCAUAUCACUGAACUUCUAGUAGGGUACUCACUUGGUCCUGCAAGUUGUCUUGUCUUUGUCUCUACAAAUCCAAAGUAAUUCAGCUAUUCAGAAAAAAAGUUGAUCAUAAACAUGUAAAAGGCAAAUACAAUCUGAAGAUAAAUCAUGCACAGUCAAUGGAGCUGGGGCUGUGAAAUUAAUUUCCAGGGAAGGUUUAAAUGAAUCAGAAGGCAGACAUGAGCAUGCAUUGCAAUAUGCUCUUUGACAGAAUUCUUCCCCUAGAGGCCCCUGGCAAUCUGCAGACCUCCCCAGACUAAACCUAAGAGCCUUCCUGUAAAUAAAGAAGGGACAGCCUCUGGAGGCAAUCUGGAUCUCUGUGAAAAGCCUCUUUGUUCCAGUCUGUGAGGGCUGGAAAACUCUUAGGCAGCAGAACUCUGGAUGCCGACAGGAACAACUCCGCCUGCUGGUUUGGCUCUCUGAUGGGAGAGCGAGUGGCUGGUUCUGUUGGUGGAUCCAAGACCCCAUCCCCACAGAUGAGGGAGACUGGCAAACUUACUGGGGCCUCUGGCAAAUGUAAAACCUUAUGUAGUGUUUGGGGCUUGCCCCCCCUGACUGCUUUCUGCCUUUUCCUGGUGCAGGAAGGUGGAUAGUUUCCAGCUGAAACAGUUGAUGGAAAAUUCCUGCUAAGGAAGAAAAACUAGAGGCUUAACUCUGGUAGAGACUGUAGCGAUGGGCUGGGGCCAAACCUAGGAAGAUCAGGGCAUGGGCUGGUGCCAUCCCACUGUGUCUGUUGUCUGUGAGGGAUGCUGGGGUGCUUCUGCUGCUGUCAGGAUGGGGGAUGGUGAGUCGGGGAUCUGCACUUCUUUCUCUGGUUGUUCCUUUCUCUCUGCAGCAGGUGAAGCUCAUGAAAAUGUCAUAGCUCAGCAACCAAACCGGCCAUGGAUACUGUUUGGAGAGAAUCCCCUGUGAGGAGAAUGCAUGGAGCAUCUGAAUGACUUCACCAGCCAUGGAAAUACUCUACAAAUAAAGUUGUCUUGUUUAGUUAUAAAUUUCAUGCUGGAAUGGUUAUUCUUGAAUGUGUAUAGGGAAGAACACCCAGAAAUUAGUAUUACAGUAAUCAUUAAUGACAAAUUUGGCUGAAUUUUAAAGUGUAUCCUAAAGUUGAAAAUCAAUAAUUGGAUUAACAGAAUUUCUGACCAGUCCUAGGACUUGUAGACUUCCUCAGGCAUUGUUGAAAAGGUUUUGUUUUCCUUCAUUUUUCAUAUUCAGAUUUGGUAAUGUUUCUUUCCUGUUGCUAAUGUUGCUGUUCAUUUGUUUAUUGGUUACUAUUCUGAAAAAAAAUCUAGGCUUUGGUUUUUGAGGGAAAAGGAUGUGGAGCGGGGAAACAGAGGAAGGCCCUUUGGAAGAUUUGUGGAAUUUGAUAAUGUUACAAGUGAG